UACGAAGGGGGCUAGCGUUGUUCGGAAUUACUGGGCGUAAAGCGCGCGCAGGCGGCUAUCCAAGUCAGUGGUGAAAGCCCGGAGCUCAACUCCGGAACUGCCAUUGAAACUGGCGAACUUGAGUACGAGAGAGGUGAGUGGAAUUCCCAGUGUAGAGGUGAAAUUCGUAGAUAUUGGGAAGAACACCGGUGGCGAAGGCGGCUCACUGGCUCGUAACUGACGCUCAGGCGCGACAGCGUGGGGAUCAAACAGG
rnacentral:rRNA from 1 species